rnacentral:sRNA from 1 species
AGAGGGAGCAGGGACACACCGGAAGACGGGAAUUAGCCUUGUGGACUGGACUGUGCCUCAAGGGCAAGAUUCCAGCCAUUGGCUUCCAUCUAGUGAAAACGCAAGUCCAUCUGAGAGGAGAGAACUGGAACUGGGACUGUUGCUGAAGGGGACCCUGCUCGAAAACAAUCAUUGAAGAAGGACUUUGGAUUCUUUCUCCAAAGGCAUACAAAGGCCACCACUAUGGUACCUGAGGGAGCAAGAGUACAUCUCCAUCUAGCAGUGGAAUUUGUUGGCCUUGUCUACAUGGUACUGUUGAUAUGAGAGAUGAGAAAGCAUGUGUCCCACAGAGGCUUGCACCAGUGGGCUAUAGAGCCAGGCAAUGUGCGGCAGGUUGGAAUCUCUGCGUGGAGCUCCAUUGUAUGAAGCUAUGAAGAGCCUCCUAGUUAAGAGAUUGCUUUGAAUCUCAGAAGAGAUGUUGGGCUCUUGAACCAUGUUUGGACUACUGAAGACCAUAUGGGGAUUGUUGACGUUGGAAAGCAUGGAUUCUGCAUGGAACCCCUGUCAACCAGUGCUAAGGAUGCAGGAACAAGAGCAUCCUGGGAGCUUGCUGGCCAGUCACUCUACCAAAGCAGUGAACUUCAGGUGAGCCAUUCAGCUUAGACAUACAGGGAGGAUAGCUACUUAAAACCAGAUAAAAUGUUAUCUGAACAAAUACUCAUUUAUAUGUUCUGUUAAUUAUCUAAGUUGAUCCUAGAGAGAAAAAAGAAACCAUGAAACUGAACUUGGUUAAAAAUCAGAAACCAUGGAAUUUUCAGGUAAACAGAUGGAACAAGAAAACAUUAUACUGAGUAUGGGAGCCCAGAUGCAGACAGUCAGAUAUUGCAGACAGACAGAUAUCACAUGUUCUCUUUUAUUUGUGCUUCCUAGUUCCAAGUCUUCAGAUAUGCAUGUGCAAUGCGGUGUGACCACAGGAACCAGGAAAGUGAAAAAAGACUGUGGGGGAGGGGGGAGCUCUAGACAGGAGAACACCUGGAUCCAACAAAGAGAAAGAG